GACGAACGCUGGCGGCGUGCCUAAUACAUGCCAGUAGAACGCUGAAGGAGGAGCUUGCUUCUCUGGAUGAGUUGCGAACGGGUGAGUAACGCGUAGGUCACCUGCCCCGUAGCGCGGGAUAACUAUUGGAAACGAUACCUAAUACCGCAUACUAGCAGAUGUUGCAUGACAUUUGCUUAAAAGGUGCAAUUGCAUCACUACCAGAUGGCCCUGCGUUGGAUUAGCUAGUUGGUGGGGUAACGGCCCACCCACGCGACGAUACAUAGCCGACCUGCGUGGGUGAUCGACGACGCGGGGACUGAGACACGGCCCAGACUCGUACGGGGGGCAGCAGUAGGGAGUCUUCGGGAAGGGGGGGAAGUCUGACCGGGGAACGCGGCGGGGGUGAGGGAGGUGUUCGGGUCGGAGAGAACGGUUGGAAGAGAGGAACGAGUGUGAGAGUGGAAAGUGCACGCCGUGACGGUAUCUUAGCAGGAGGGGACGGCUAGCUACGUG
rnacentral:rRNA from 1 species